rnacentral:rRNA from 1 species
GACGAACGCUGGCGGCGUGCUUAACACAUGCAAGUCGAACGAUGAAGCCGGAGCUUGCUCUGGUGAAUUAGUGGCGAACGGGUGAGUAACACGUGAGUAACCUGCCCUUGACUCUGGAAUAACUGCUAGAAAUGGUAGCUAAUACCGGAUACGACCUCGGAGGCAUCUCCAGGGGGUGGAAAGAAUUUCGGUCAAGGAUGGACUCGCGGCCUAUCAGCUAGUUGGUGAGGUAAUGGAUCACCAAGGCGACGACGGGUAGCCGGCCUGGGAGGGUGACCGGCCACACUGGGACUGAGACACGGCCCAGACUCCUACGGGAGGCAGCAGUGGGGAAUAUUGCACAAUGGGCGCAAGCCUGAUGCAGCAACGCCGCGUGAGGGAUGACGGCCUUCGGGUUGUAAACCUCUUUUAGUAGGGAAGAAGCGAAAGUGACGGUACCUGCAGAAAAAGCACCGGCUAACUACGUGCCAGCCGCCGCCGUAA